GACGUAGGGCGCGAGCGUUGUCCGGAUUUAUUGGGCGUAAAGAGCUCGUAGGCGGCUUGUCGCGUCGUCUGUGAAAUCCCGCGGCUCAACCGCGGGUCUGCAGUCGAUACGGGCAGGCUAGAGUUCGGUAGGGGAGACUGGAAUUCCUGGUGUAGCGGUGAAAUGCGUAGAUAUCUGGAGGAACACCGGUGGCGAAGGCGGCAUCCUGGACCGACACUGACACUGAGGAGCGAAAGCCAGGGGAGCAAACGGG
rnacentral:rRNA from 1 species